rnacentral:lncRNA from 1 species
CGAAGCCGUCGCAUCGGGAGUGAUCAAUGAAGGACUGGGAAGAGGAGGAGGCUCAGGAAGGGCGAUGUCAGAGCAAUCGUGAGAUUGAACGGAUCUUACGGUCUCUGUGACAGAGAUCACACCGGCACCGGAGGAUCCGGUUCGGGCCAAGCAGGAUCGGCUUGAAGAAAUGAGUAGCAGAAUGUAACCGAUCCUGAAUCGCGGCUGGUCGAAUAUAAUAAUACUCUUGAGGCAUGAUUUGAUGCAUGAUCCUGAGACUGAUUUUCAACGACAAUUAUAUGUCGCGAAAUUUAUACGUACUUGUAUUUCGCUUGUAUUCUAUUCUUCGCUAACGGAUCCGGUCGUUGACAGAGGAGAUGAGGGCUUAUUAAUUUUCGUCUGGUGAAGUGAAGGAUUGUCGUGUAACAGAAGGCGCUCCUCGCGAGUUUCGAAGAACGGCAUUGUUUCAGCGCUGCGGCGGUGAAUGAGGCGUGAAUAAUUAAUUAGAUCAAUAACAAUCUAAUGGGGAGUGCUCGGCUAUUACGUUCGUCGUGCAACGUCGCCGAGACUGGGUACCUCGCAACGCGCUCUACGGCUUAAUUCAUGUUCGUUGACGGUGUGGCGGCGGUGCCGCCAGAUAAUAAGAAUAAUGUCCCGUGAUUAUAGACCAGCCCUCGUGGUAUCGCUUUGUUGCCGUCUUAUCAGCGGGGUAUGAAAACUCUUGGUCGUUCCUUCUAGCGGUAACUUAUCAUAAUCGCGCGGCCUUCGUAUGCAAAGGCACCCUGGCUUUUUGCGCGAAAAAUUCGCGCAGGUAACUUUAUGACAA